rnacentral:rRNA from 1 species
GCCAGACUCCUACGGGAGGCAGCAGUGGGGGAUAUUGCACAAUGGGCGCAAGCCUGAUGCAGCGACGCCGCGUGAGCGAAGAAGUAUUUCGGUAUGUAAAGCUCUAUCAGCAGGGAAGAAAAUGACGGUACCUGACUAAGAAGCCCCGGCUAACUACGUGCCAGCAGCCGCGGUAAUACGUAGGGGGCAAGCGUUAUCCGGAUUUACUGGGUGUAAAGGGAGCGUAGACGGCAGUGCAAGUCCGGAGUGAAAGCCCGGGGCUCAACCCUGGGACUGCUCUGGAAACUGUAAAGCUGGAGUGCGGGAGGGGCAGGCGGAAUUCCUAGUGUAGCGGUGAAAUGCGUAGAUAUCAGGAGGAACACCGGUGGCGAAGGCGGCCUGCUGGACUGCAACUGACGUUGAGGCCCGAAAGCGUGGGGAGCAAACAGGAUUAGAUACCCCAGUA